GCGGUGUAGUUUUAUUGGCACGAUUUUCUUCACUGUAAGAAACACACAGGCAGAGCUGCCACACUGAGACCUGAUAACCAACAGCAGCAGCUUUCACACUGGCACAAGUCAUUUCGCUCUCAGUGCCUGGAUUUUUGUUUUCUUACAUGGAUUCAAUACAGCAGGAUCAGGAUUGUCUCCUAGCAACACACCACUGAACAGUCAUGUGUUAAAAUGACUGUAAAAUUAUAUCCCAGAACAUCACAGCUGAGUCUGGACAGAACGUCACGCUGACAUGUCGAGCUCCAAACAACAUCCAGACUAUGGAGUGGAGCAGAGCUGACCUGGGGAGAGAAUAUGUUUUUUUGUAUCGGGAUGGGAGGGAAACUACAGUGAACCAGCAUCGCUCUUUUAAAGGCCGGGUGGCUCUACAGGACAAACAGAUGAAGGAUGGAAACAUGUCAGUGAUUCUGAAGAAUGUGAUGAUUAGUGACCGUGGAACAUACGAGUGUCGUGUGAAGGCAAACAAAAAAAAACGCAGGAAGAGAGCUAAUCUGAAGACCGACCCCAUCUGUAGCAUCUACCUGAGUGUUGUUGAUCCUCCAGGUCCAACAGGAGGACCAGAGAAGGAUGGACAUGUUGGACUGAAAGUUGGUCUGUUAGUUUCUGGCGUCCUCAUUGUUGCUGCUUUUGCUGGGUUUGUGAUCUACAGAAAGCAUAAAGGAGAAAAGAGUCAGGGUUCACACUAACCUCCUGAUGAUCUGCAGCACAUUUAAGUAUCUCACACCUCUGAACAGCUAAACUUUGAGUCUCCUGCUGCUGUCUCAACUUCCAAGUGAUAUCAGUGAACAGGAGGACAGACAUCAGGGACCUCACAAAGAAAUUAAUUGUGAAGUGUCACCAUAAAAUGUUAUUCUGUCUUAUCUCUGUGUAUGGAGAUGAUGGAAAGUCUUUGUGAGGAAUGCAGAGUAAAGAAAAUCUAAGAGAAAACAGAGAAUUCUGCUGAUUCAACAGUUAUUGUCUAAUUUUGCUGCAUCCAGCUUUCACAGUAAAAUUAGACUUGCCGUUGUUCAUAAGUUCCAAUUUUAACAAAAACAUGGUGCUUCUGUUUAUUACUAAUGUUAUGGCUGCAGAUUAGUGUCUCAAACUUUAACUUAGCACUUUAUCAGGCUUUAACACAGCCUGAUAAAGGAUACGUGGAAAUUGCUUUAGUCUGUCAGUAGAUCAAGUGUGAAGUGAAAUUAAUUUGACUGAUUCAACGGUCAUUCUUGGAGGUUGUUCAGCAGCUUAAAUGUGACCUAAAAGGAGACCAGAAUAAAUUGUAAAAACAUUUAUACAUACAUGCACAUAUACAUGCACACUCCUGUGAUAAUGUGAUUGUCAGUUUUCACUGCUGUAACCUUCGAGCUGGGCUCGAUUUAUGCUUGCACAUGUGAAAUGUAUUCCCACAUGAAUCUAUGUUGGCCUUCAGCAAAUGUUACCAUGUUGAGUAAGGUAAAAUCAGAGCUGCUUUCCUGAUACUUUAAACUGUGACUGUAAGCUUGACACAACUUGCUAAGUCAUUAAUCCCACUUUUGAACUUUAUUCAUUACCAUUGUACAGUUGCCUGCACAGAGGAAUUAGCUAGCAAGACCACAAAGGUGCAAAACCCCCAAUGUCCAAACAUAAUAUAAUAAAUAAGGGAUGAUAAUGGUAAAACAAGAGAUUGAGGAAGUU